rnacentral:rRNA from 1 species
UGUUGGAAAGCAUGACGAAACAGGGUGAUAGUCCCGUACACAAAAACUUAUCUAAAGUGAAAUCGAGUAGGUCGGAGCACGUGAAACUUUGACUGAAUAUGGGGGGACCAUCCUCCAAGGCUAAAUACUCCCAACUGACCGAUAGUGAACCAGUACCGUGAGGGAAAGGCGAAAAGAACCCCUGUGAGGGGAGUGAAAUAGAACCUGAAACCGUGUACGUACAAGCAGUAGGAGCCUACUUGUUGGGUGACUGCGUACCUUUUGUAUAAUGGGUCAGCGACUUAUAUUCUGUAGCGAGGUUAACCAUUUAGGGGAGCCGUAGCGAAAGCGAGUCUUAACUGGGCGCUUAAGUUGCAGGGUAUAGACCCGAAACCCGGUGAUCUAGCCAUGGGCAGGUUGAAGGUUGAGUAACAUCAACUGGAGGACCGAACCCACUAACGUUGAAAAGUUAGGGGAUGACCUGUGGCUAGGAGUGAAAGGCUAAUCAAACCGGGAGAUAGCUGGUUCUCCCCGAAAUCUAUUUAGGUAGAGCCUCGGACGAAUACUUACGGGGGUAGAGCACUGUUAAGGCUAGGGGGUCAUCCCGACUUACCAACCCUUUGCAAACUCCGAAUACCGUAAAGUAAUAUCCGGGAGACACACGGCGGGUGCUAACGUCCGUCGUGGAGAGGGAAACAACCCAGACCGUCAGCUAAGGUCCCAAAGUGUAUGUUAAGUGGGAAACGAUGUGGGAAGGCUAAAACAGCUAGGAGGUUGGCUUAGAAGCAGCCACCCUUUAAAGAAAGCGUAAUAGCUCACUAGUCGAGUCGGCCUGCGCGGAAGAUGUAACGGGGCUAAACAUACCACCGAAGCUACGGCUGCGAA